UAGGGAAUCUUCCACAAUGGACGAAAGUCUGAUGGAGCAACGCCGCGUGAGUGAAGAAGGUUUUCGGAUCGUAAAGCUCUGUUGUUGGUGAAGAAGGAUAGAGGCAGUAACUGGUCUUUAUUUGACGGUAAUCAACCAGAAAGUCACGGCUAACUACGUGCCAGCAGCCGCGGUAAUACGUAGGUGGCAAGCGUUGUCCGGAUUUAUUGGGCGUAAAGCGAGCGCAGGCGGAAUGAUAAGUCUGAUGUGAAAGCCCACGGCUCAACCGUGGAACUGCAUCGGAAACUGUCAUUCUUGAGUGCAGAAGAGGAGAGUGGAACUCCAUGUGUAGCGGUGGAAUGCGUAGAUAUAUGGAAGAACACCAGUGGCGAAGGCGGCUCUCUGGCCUGCAACUGACGCUGAGGCUCGAAAGCAUGGGUAGCGAACAGGAUUAGAUACCCUGGUAGUCCAUGCCGUAAACGAUGAGCGCUAGGUGUUGGGGACUUUCCGGUCCUCAGUGCCGCAGCAAACGCAUUAAGCGCUCCGCCUGGGGAGUACGACCGCAAGGUUGAAACG
rnacentral:rRNA from 1 species